rnacentral:sRNA from 1 species
AGAGAGAGAGAGAGAGAGAGAUCAGCAUGGUAAACAGGGAAUAAGAAAUAAGAGACAGAUAUUAGAUGAACAUGAUAUAGGUUCUCUGCCGCUGCUGAACUCCAGAAUGGCAGCGUCCACACCCCUAAUGACCAGAGUAAAUUAGUCCUUCCAACUAUCAAAACUGACUCGAGUGGUUCAGAGUCCAUGCAAGUGAAACUAGGCUUUGGGGUUCAGUUACAGAAUGAAAGUCUUUCUUUAUGAGGCUCACACAAGUAAGGUCCACAAACUCAGAAAAGGCACUGCAGUGCUGAGAAACUUUUUUUUCUGAGAAACUUUUUUUUAAAAAUCAUAAAUGUAAUCAUUCAAAGUGUAAGUUCCUCUUAGUCUCGCAGUAUCUCAGAAAAUGACUAGCAUAGUUAGAAAUACUCCCUUCUGUUCCUCAGCCCCAACACCGCCUUAGCAUGCCAACAGACUCAGUAUCAUUUUUGGACAGACUUCAUGGUUUGCAGAUGCUUCCUUGUUGCUGGGAUGUCAUACAGGAGAAAGAACAAGCCAGGCCUUUUCAUAAUCCUGAGUUCUCUCCCCUUGUCACCUCAUUAUUUCUCAAUGUCCCAAAUCAUCACAUCGAUAAUCAGGUAUCACCAUAUUGAAGUUUAGGUGACACAAAAAUCCUAGAAAUAAAUUCAUGAGCCCCACUUCUAAGCAUGAUCCAGCCUCCUUUACUCUCUCUAUGAUCUCCACGUCAUACCAGAAUUUCACCUUAGAAUCUUGGCUAUGACUUUCAGGCUCAAUUAAAAUACAAAGAAGAAAAGGUUAGUUCUUUUAUCUAAUGAGAUAGGAGGAUAGUUUAAAACCCAGAAGGAAGGGAUACAAGAGGAAUUUGAGGAUGGUGGGAGGGAUGCAGGAGGGUAGAUCUUGAGAGAAUGUCAGAGGGAUGCAGAAGACCGUAAAUGUGGAGAAAGGCUCAGAAUGGGUAUUCUGCAGGCCACAAAGGUAACCUGUAGCACCUUCCCUGACUACUGGUCUCAGCAUAAUUCUGUACUCAUUCCUGAGCCAAAGGACCUCCAAGCUAAUGAAGCAAACCUAAGAAAGAUCAGUCAAGACUGACAACAUCAUUUUCCUACUACUAAUAGCAACAAUGCUUGCUACCAUUAUUAUUAUUCAUAAUAAAGCUUUUUGGGCCCCACUCAAUAAGAGGUUGAACAAGCCCAUUAAGAAGAGGAAAUCUAUUUCCUGACUGGUACUGUUUACACACAUCACUAGGAGACACUUGCUGGCUGGGAGAGCCCCAUUUGCUCUAACACAGACUUGGCAGAAGCCAACAGAAUGAAAAUAAAUCCCUCAAGUAGAAUUGCUGUGUGGUUAGUGAGGUCAUAGAUACUGUCUGGCUAUGCUAUAUUCUAGUAUGAAGAAACAGCAAUGACCAAGGUCACCUUGCUGUCAUACUGAAGACAGGGAUCCUCCUGUCCUUUUAGCUCCUGAAGUCAGCUGAGCAUGAUCCAUUGGCGUGAGCAACUCUUAGGAAAGCUGUGAACUAAUAAGUCAGUUCAUGACCUACACUGCUAGUCCUGCUUGCUCCACACCCUCCAAUCUGGCUCUAGUUCUCUUUGUUCUGCUCCCACUUGGGCACUGAGAAGCCCCACUCUGUGAAGGGUCCUUUGAAUCAUAAGACUGUUAAGACCCACCAUCCUACUGCCCCUUCAAGAUUCAAUUUCCCUCUGUAAGCUUCUCUCAAGAAAAAAAAGUCUGUUCUUGCCUAAACACUUAUCAAAAGCACCAGUGAUGUUUAAGGGUCAUCUAUGGAGGGUCUCCAUAUACAAUGCCCAAGCCAGGUAGGGAAGAAGAAUAAAUCUCAUUCCCUGAGGACAUUACACUUAGAAGAUAUCAAGGAUCCAAGCACUGAAUCUAUAAUAGCUACAUUCCAAAGAUCUGUGACCAGUCAUGACCACUCUGAUACAAGGGGCUUGGGAAAUCCCUGCAUCCCCCCCUUAAAUGGGUACCUAUGUUUUCAGCAGUGCAUGGCUUGUGCCCUAAGGCUGUUUUCCUAGGAUAGUACAGAGCUCCACAAUCCACACCAAGUGAAGCUUUCUUCCCAGCAGAGGGCAGCAGCUGCCAGUGGCUGGAGCAUGGUGUAGCCAUCUCGGAAUGAGAGGACAGUGGCAGAAGGCAGGCAGGUGGGGGCUGGGAGGCAGCCGACCGGGUUUGCCACUUCAUCAUUUGUUGUCAGCUGUCACCUCUGGUACAGUCUGGCUUUCCAGCCACUGCCCCCAUAACCUAGUGCUUUCUGGCUGGACUGCCUUACCCUGAACUGCCAGUGUGAAAGGCUUUGGGUUAUUAAUCUGACCCGGAGAGCAAAAGCACAUUUAAACCUCUUAGCUUUCCCUUACUCAGCUGCUGAUGCCACAUGGAAAACUGGAGGAAAAAGAGGACAAGGAAAGAUCCAACUUUGAGCAAAAGGAACCAUCAUGAGGCUCAGCGUGAACCAAAAAUAUAAACAUGAUUGUCAGAAAAGCUAAUGAAACAUCACUCAUCAACAUAAAGAAUUCAAAGCAAGGGAGACAAAAACAUCUGAGUCGGAUGCUGAUGGGACCACACAUGGGAGGCUAUUCUUGUCUUAGUCAUUACUUUAAGAAGGGGAGGUGAAAAAUUAGAGUACACUCCUAGUGAAUAUUCAGGAUGUCAUGAAGUUGGAAAUCCCAUCAUUUCCCGAAAUAACAUUUUAUAAAACACAGAUAAGUGGGCACAAAUCCUAUCUUAGCUACCAACCUGUUCCUCUCCAUGAAACCUGUGGAAAGAACUUAUAAAACUCUCAGUUGUAUGGUCUGAAUCUGAACCCAGGUUCCUUCUAAGAUACUUAUAUUGUAAGAGUCUACAGUUCUAUUUUCUUCAAAAGUCUGUAUCUGAUGCUAGUUGGAUCUGGUAUGUAUCAAGGCUGUCACUAUUUUUCUUAUGGUAGAGUUUUACUAAUAUUCUGUCAGUCCAAAUCUUUCAUUAUCUCUGGAAUGACAGGUCUGUUACUACAUCAUAAUAAAAAUAGUUAUUGUUCUGGUCAAUGAAAAUGAUGGAAAUAUUAUGCAGGAAAGUUUUCUUGUUAUUUUUCUCAGCUUGGGCAAACCCCAAAGAGCCCCGCCAAGAAGGUCAUAUCAAAACACCAUGGAGCUUCUCAUUAUCUCGUCCCCAGACAAUUAUGAUCACCAUAGUUUCAUGGUUACUCAUUAAAUAUGUAAAAGUAACUAUAUUGUUUUAAGACACCAAGAUUUGGGAGCUAACUUGUUACUUGCAAUAUCAUUUUUCCAACACCAACUAAUAUAACCAUCACAAAGAGAAAGGCAUGUUGAAAACUUAUGCCUUGAAUGUGUCUAAUCUUUAAUAGACUGAGGUCUUUAAAUGAGAACUGGGAACUGUUGUGGCUGGAUUUCAGAUUAGGAGUGGUGGGAGAGAGGAGUAAGAAUCAUUUUCUCCAUUUGAAAGCUGUAAAUGGCAGGAAGUUUCCUCUUGGAAAUUACCUUGAAGACUCUGCCACCCCAGAUUUCAGAGUGAAUGUCUCCAAAUCUGUCUUCAUUCUAUGCAUUUUUGGUAAAAUGAAGGGGGAAAGGUUUAGGUAAAGAAGCCAAAUUUUCAUGAGAAACUGGAUAUCAGUUUCUGAAUGGUUAAUAAAGAUGCCCCCUCUAAAUAAUGCUUACAAUGGACACUACCCCAGAGGUCUAUGGGCUAACAAGAUAUCAGCUCUGAGAGAAAGGUUACACUUCUGUAUCUUCAACAAUGAUUUAAUUAGACGUGUUCCUGUUUGCUAAAUAAACACUCAUGCAUUAUGAAAUUCAUCAACCAUUCUGCCUAGCAAGGUUAGGACCUGGGUCUUUGGUUGAGAACCAUGCAUUAACUGUCUCUGGGAAUUCCUUUCCCAGGCCCAGGCAGGAGGUUACUGAGGAACACAACCAAUCAAUAGCCUGACGUAACUUUCAGGCAUCAAUUCAGUGGUGAAGAAAAGUCUGUGUGUUCACAGAUCUGACUGGGCUGGAGCAUUCUCAUAUGGAAUAUCUACUCUAAUAAAAGUAACUCUGGCUAAAGUAGAAAGACAGUAGCUAAGAGAGCAAAAGCAUUGAACCAGUAGAAACGGAAAGGCUCAAUUGUGGCUUUCUGCUCCUAGUUCUAACUCUUCUUUUUACAGUCAGUGACCUCUGAUUGGCAGGAAGAACCUUCUAGAAAACAUCCAGACAAUUCCUAUCAGAAAACACUGAGUCUUGCUCCAAAUGAAGCAAUACAGGUAGGCAGAAGUGAUGAAAAAUGCUACAGUGUACAAUCCAUAUGGUGCUCACUGGAGACAGGUUACAGAUGACAAAUACCCAAAGCAUUGCAAUAUUAGGUGUCAUAGGAGACACAUAUGACCAUUGUGUAGAGGGCACAAAGGACAGCCUCCUAUUUCCCUGCCCCUGCAGCCACAAAAGCAUCAUCCUAUCCUAAGCACAUACAAGAUCAAGUAAGCUCUUUCCAAACUUGUUGGAGACCUUUACAAAGCACACUUCUAGAUAUAUCAAAUGGCAGUGAUCGCAAGAUGGAUAAUGUCAAGCACUGUCAAGGAAGAGGACAGUCUGCAGCACUUCCUUGUGUAUGGCUGGUGGGAGCCUAGCUGGCACAGUCCUUCUGGAAAAGUCUGGAAGUAUCUGAAAUAAUUAAGGAAAAUACACCCUAGAAUCCAGCAACACAGGUCACGCUAAUAGAGCCCUGAGAAAUUCUGUCUUGGGGCCAUGAACCACCACACUGGUAACAGCAAACCUGGAGAAGAAGGCUUCAUUGAGGGAAGCAAGAAACACCUAGUAGCUGCACAAAAGAAAUAUUCUGCAGGUGCAAGGAAUAUGUUGAAUGAAACCACAAUUAACAAGGAAAGAUCUUACAAGUUCAAUGCUGAAUAGAAAUUAAGAAUUGCGCUAAAAUACAUCACACAAUAUUUUAAAUAGGCACGUUAAAUGUUUAACAACAAAAACAUAUGAGUCAUUCUUUUAAAAAAAGAAAACAUGCAUAUUUAAACAUACAUUAUACACCCUGUACUGUUAUAAUGUAUAUCGCUGGGGAAGGAAAAUACAAGGUAAUAUGAUUAAAAGUGAGGGGGAAUAAUUAAAUAAAGGCUGGGAGGCCUUAUAGUGCUAACAGUGGUAGGUUAUAAAUUAAAAGGUUUAUAGUCAGUUCUCUACCUAAGAUUAAAUAGAGAAGAAAUAUGUUGCUUCAUUUGGAUAAAAUGUGAAAUAUGUGUCUAAUCAAGAUCCAUAUAUAAUAAGGUAUCAUGAUGUGAAGGACACAAACUGAUGUCUCAGUUUAGAAUCAGAGCCUUAUUAUUUAUUAGUCAUAUCUGCAUAGAUUAGGAAAAAAUAAUAUAUGUGAAAUACUGAUACAAAAGAAAGCAACAAGCAAAUGGUAACCACUGUCAUGAGAUUUUUUUUUAAUUUCUCUUUUGCUGUAGCUGAUACACAUUGAAAUAUUUUGCAUAGUAAGAAAGUUAUCCUAAGUUUCACAUCAGUUUAUAUAUAGUUUGUGCCCUCCCUACAGAUCUAGGGGUAUUAAAUACAAUGAACCAACAAAAUAAAUCAAUCCAGGCAGAAACAGAUACUCUCCUCCUAAAGGAAGAAUGGGGUCAUACUGGCAGAUGGCUAGGAAGAUUUGGUGACUAAACCCUGACCUAGAAUUUUGCUCAGACUCAUAAUUAAAUAGAAUACCAGAUACAUGCAACCUGCCACAUUGCCCCAUUGCACCAUAGGAUAACCAUGAAUGUGACCUAGCAAAGUCAUGUUAUAAUAUCAUAAGGUGGGAUACCCCUGAUGCUCGUCAGAGAAGUGUGAACUUCAGAGCUCUUGGUUCAUGUUAAAUAAAGCAGAGAGGAUCCUGUGCAUACACUCUCUAAUGAUUACUUGGAUGUUCAUGGUAGAACUACUAGGGAUCACAGAAGCCAAUACUUGCCCAGGAUUUUGGCUAAGACGUCAAAUGUCUGAACGAAUGAAUUAUCAAUGGAGAUUUUGGACACUAAAUAGAAAAGAAAAAGACAAUCCUGAAGUCAUGUAUUUGGGUCUUUCUUUUUCUGACAACUUCAUGAAACUUGGGAGAGCUUGAUGAAUCUGGGAAGACAGGUGGUAAAUUUGAGGCAAUCACUCUCUGUCCUAUGCUAGUGAGGUUCUAAACUCUGAAUGCAUUAUCAAUAGAAUGAAAUCUUUCUGUUGCUACUGCUACCUCUGUGAUGGUGAGGCAAGAUCUCUGUGCUUCAGUCUUGUCUUCUGUUGUCAGGGUGAUGGUAGUUAUAAAGUAGUUCAGAGGAUUAAAUGAGUUGGUAUUCUUUUAACAAUGCACAUGGUAAGCACUGUAAGAGUUAUUAUGCGAACAUGCGUUAAAUGAAAAUGAAUGCCAGGUGCCUUAGGCAAACCGCUGGCAGAUGCUGGACUACGACAGACUGUGACUGAAUGCUUUAACAAGUACCUUGAGUGUAGAUUCUCUUUGAUGCUUUAAAUACCAGCUGUGCGGGAGGCAAAGUGGUCUCCUGUGUACAGUUAGAUGCUGGGCCUGUAUUCUCACAAAAUAGACACAUAUACUCUUAGCAAGUACUUAACAGAGAUGCAAAAUCAGAGCAACAAUGGUAAUUACAUAACUCUCAUAUUAACUGAAUGCCUCUGGGUGCCUGGCUUGGAAUUAGCACUUCUGUUCAUUUGUCUUGGUUCUUAACCACAAGAAAAGGAAAGGGAGGUUUCCCCUCCAUUAUAUAGAUGAGAACACCUAAGCUUGGCAGGCUAGAGUGUCUUGUUCAAGGUCACCCAGCUUCCCCUCUGUAAGCCUUACAGGGUUCUUCCACUAUGACCUUAUUCUUUCCUCACCAAAUCAACUGAGUGAAUUUUACGAUAGGCAUUCUCCCGCCUGUCUCUCCUUGCCACCACCUGCUACAAAGAUACAGCUCAUAUUUUAGACAGUUCCUCAAGAUCUCCAAAAAUGACCAGGCAUUACGAGCAUUGAGGAACUUCAAGUUCAAAUACAUUGCACAGCUGAACUGUGCUCAUACAAGGCACAAUCCCAUGAGAGAGUGCAGGUGCACUGUCAUGUCAGCCAUGGCCUUGAACUUGAUCUGACUAAAUAUUUAAUAAGCUUUGUGCAAAAUUUUAGUAUAUGAAUUUUUAGUUAGGGUCAGAUUUCAUGUGGCAUGCAUUGCAAAUGACUAUGACACAUCAGUAUGUCCCGGCAUCAGGAACCACAUCUGUCAGUUUUAGGAGCCUAGGUGAGUCCAUCCUUAGCUGACCAGUUCUUUCAGCCUCAGCAAGGUGUAACAUUUGAUAGCACAUUUUGUGAGAGUUUCGUGGAUUUUGAUGGAUUCGGGGAUCUCAAGAGCUCUGAGUUAAAAUAGAAAUGGCGUCUAUGUUAUUAUGAUGAUUUAAUAAGAAAUAAUUUCCAAUUUAGCAAUUUCUUAGCAUGAGUCACAGAACAAGCGUUGGAGUGAAGUGGAAGGGAAGUAAGAGUGAGGAGGGCGGAAGCUACCAGGUUGCAGAAUGGAGAGACAUUAAAACUCUUCAUACUCUCAGAAAAUUAUGCUCAGAAUGAGAAGACUAUUCCUAACCAGUGGGGCCAUGUAGACUCUCACUCAGGCACCUCAACUUUGAGACUAAAGUUUGAUGACAUUUCAGUGUCAUCAAAAUUUAACAUCUUUCAAUAAUAACCAAUUGCAUUAUUCAUGUUGUUAAAAAGACACAUAAAAGAUCUAGGCAUAGUGAUGUAUGCUUACAAUGUCAGAGCUCGGGAGGGGUGGUCAGAUCCCUAGAGUUUACUGGCUA